AACGAACGCUGGCGGCAGGCCUAACACAUGCAAGUCGAGCGAGGUAGCAAUACCUAGCGGCGGACGGGUGAGUAACGCGUGGGAACGUGCCCUUUGCUACGGAAUAGCCUCGGGAAACUGGGAGUAAUACCGUAUGUGCUCUUCGGAGGAAAGAUUUAUCGGCAAAGGAUCGGCCCGCGUUGGAUUAGGUAGUUGGUGAGGUAACGGCUCACCAAGCCGACGAUCCAUAGCUGGUUUGAGAGGAUGAUCAGCCACACUGGGACUGAGACACGGCCCAGACUCCUACGGGAGGCGGCAGUGGGGAAUCUUAGACAAUGGGCGCAGGCCUGAUCUAGCCAUGCCGCGUGAGCGAUGAAGGCCUUAGGGUUGUAAAGCUCUUUCAGUGGGGAAGAUAAUGACUGUACCCACAGAAGAAGCCCCGGCUAACUCCGUGCCAGCCGCCGCAGUAA
rnacentral:rRNA from 1 species